rnacentral:rRNA from 1 species
AGGCAUCUAAGCGUGAAGCCCCCCUCAAGAUGAGAUGUCCCAUUCGAAAGAAGUAAACCCCCUUGAAGACGACGAGGUAGAUAGGGCAGGGGUGGAAGUGCAGUAAUGUAUGGAGCUGACUGUUACUAAUCGGGUGAGGGCUUGACCAA